GCGCCAUUAGCUCAGCUGGAUAGAGUAGCGUACUACGAAUGCGAAGGUCGCAGGUUCGAAUCCUGCAUGGCGCGCCA
rnacentral:tRNA from 1 species